GCAUCGAUGAAGAACGCAGCGAAAUGCGAUAAGUAAUGUGAAUUGCAGAAUUCAGUGAAUCAUCGAAUCUUUGAACGCACCUUGCGCUCCUUGGUAUUCCGAGGAGCAUGCCUGUUUGAGUGUCAUGAAACUCUCAAACUCUUGUUUUGGAUGCAAAUCCUUGCUUGAGUUUGGACUUGGGUGUUUGCCGGUGAUGAACCGACUCGCCUUAAACAUAUUAGCUGGACUUGUCUAUAUGACUGGUUUGACUUGGCAUAAUAAGUAUUUUGCUAAGGACAUCUUCGGAUGGCCAGUACCUAGGCUCUGUGUCUGCUAACUAAACCAUCACUUGGAGUGCAUCUUUAUGGUGUUGCUUCCUGUGUAUACUUUGACAUCUGACCUCAAAUCAGGUAGGACUACCCGCUGAACUUAAGCAUAUCAAUAAGCGGAGGA
rnacentral:rRNA from 1 species